rnacentral:rRNA from 1 species
GACGAAGGAUACAAGCGUUAUCCGGAUUCAUUGGGUUUAAAGGGAGCGUAGGUGGUCUUAUAAGUCAGUGGUGAAAUCUCGCAGCUUAACUGCGAAACUGCCAUUGAUACUGUAGGACUUGAGUAUAGUUGCUGUGGGCGGAAUAUGACAUGUAGUGGUGAAAUACUUAGAGAUGUCAUAGAACACCGAUUGCGAAGGCAGCUCACAAAACUAUAACUGACACUGAGGCUCGAAAAUGCGGGGAUCAAACAGG